AACGAACGCUGGCGGCAUGCCUAACACAUGCAAGUCGAACGAAACCGUCGUGUCUAUUUGCGCACGUGUGCUUGACACGUGGUAACCUACCCUUAGGUUCGGUAUAACUCCCCUAAAGAUAUGCUAAUGCCGCUGAGUGUCUUCUGGCCAAGGAUUUAUGGCCUUUGGGUGGGCGCUCGUUGGUUUAGCUAGUUGGUAGUGUAAAAGCAUACCAAGGAGACGAUCCAUAGCUGGUAUGAGAGGAUGGUAAGCCACACUGGGACUGCGACACGGACCACAAUGCUACGGGAGGGAGCAGUGGGGAACACUGGACGAUGGGCGCAAGUCUGAUAAAGCAAUGUGGGGUGAGUGAUGAAGGCGUUAGGGUUGUACAGCUGCUUUACACGGGAUGAGAAUGACAGUAACGGGAGAAGAAGCUCCGGCUAACUACGUG
rnacentral:rRNA from 1 species